GAUGAACGCUGGCGGCGUGCCUAAUACAUGCAAGUCGAGCGAAAAGACAAUGAGCUUUCUCCUCUGACGUUAGCGGCUGGCGGGUGAGUAACACGUGGAUAACCUUCCUAUUUUUCUGGGAUAACUACGGGAAAAAGGAUACACUACCGGCUCAUAUAUUGUACGGCAUGGAUCAAUAGUUCAUGACACUUUUGCUGACUCUUUUAGAUGAUUUCGCGCCGCAUUAGCUAGUUGGUAAGGUAACGGCUUACCAAGGCGACGAUGCGUAGCUGAGCUGAGAGGGUGAUCAGCCACACUGGAACUGAGACACGGUCCAGACUCCUACGGGAGGCAGCAGUAGGGAAUCUUCCGCAAUGGGCGAAAGCCUGACGCAGCAACGCCGCGUGAGUGAAGAAGGUCUUCGGAUCGUAAAACUCUUUUAUUAGGGAAGAACAACUGUAUGAUUAACUAUGCACGUCUUGACGGUACCUAAACAGAAAGCCACGGCUAACUUCGUG
rnacentral:rRNA from 1 species